rnacentral:tRNA from 1 species
GGGCCCCUAGUUCAACGGAUAGAUCACCCUCCUUCUAAGAGGCCAAGUCCCGGUUCGAGUCCGGGGGGGCCCACCA